rnacentral:rRNA from 1 species
AGCUCCAAUAGCGUAUAUUAAAGUUGCUGCAGUUAAAAAGCUCGUAGUUGGAUUUCUGGCCUGAAACAUUAUGCCGGCCACGGUUUCGUGUGUUAGUGCAUUCUGUUCUGGCCAUCCUUCCAAUCGCUAACAUCAGUCUUCAUUGAUUGGUGUGUGGUAUUGGAUCUUUUACUUUGAAAAAAUUAGAGUGUUUCAAGCAGGCUUAUGCUAUGAAUACAUUAGCAUGGAAUAAUAAUUUAGGACUUCGGUUCUAUUUUGUUGGUUUCUAGGACUGAAGUAAUGAUUGAUAGGGAUAGUUGGGGGUGCUAGUAUUCAGCGGCCAGAGGUGAAAUUCUCGGAUUCGCUGAAGACUAACUUAUGCGAAAGCAUUCACCAAGGAUGUCUUCU